rnacentral:tRNA from 1 species
GGUUCUAUAGUGUAGUGGUGAUCACUCCGGAUUUUGAAGAUAAUUUAUUCCGGCAACCCCGGUUCGAACGUGAGUUGACUCG